UGGAAGAAACGCUCGACUUCUUAAUCUUAUAUCGGGACCAUCGGGCUUUUCGAUUAUUGGCAAUGCGUUCCAAAGCAUAGUGUCAGCAGAGAAACUAUGGAAGGUCUUCUGUACAUUAUCUAAUGAAUAUUAUCCCAUUGCUAAAUUCGGGGGUUUCUUUGUAUAUGGAGUGUUAAUCAGUCAUCCAGACGAUUUAGAGACGAUUCUAAGCAGCACUAAGCACAUCGAGAAAGGUCAUGUGUAUAACUUAUUACAUCCCUGGUUAAACACAGGUCUCCUCACUAGCACAGGUAAUAACAU